GCACUCGUAGCUCAGUAGGAUAGAGCGUCCCCCUCCUAAGGGGAAGGCCGGGGGUUCGAUUCCUCUCGGGUGCACCA
rnacentral:tRNA from 1 species